CUCUCAGCUGCUUAUAUGAAGUACUACGUAGAAAUCGUGUUUUUUGAAGAUGGAGCGCCGCAGCACCCAUUACCAGAACCGCAAACAAAAGAGGUGUACUACAAAGAAGUGGCGAUGGCGGCAUCAAGACGUCUGGCACUGUUGGGAGCAGGACACUUCAAGAUCUACAUGAAAGGCCUUUAUACGCUUACGCCAUCUCAAAGCAGCGCAAUUUUUUUAAGGAACGGGAAACUAGUGCCUAUUGACGACGUUUAUAAAAACUUGAUAUCUCUCCUAAGGAGGAAUUCUAAAGCACAUGUGCACCACAAAGACCUUGUCGUCGUCGUA